rnacentral:rRNA from 1 species
UACAGAGGUCUCAAGCGUUGUUCGGAUUCAUUGGGCGUAAAGGGUGCGUAGGUGGCGCUGUAAGUCGGGCGUGAAAUUUCGGAGCUUAACUCCGAAACUGCAUUCGAUACUGCGGUGCUUGAGGACUGGAGAGGAGACUGGAAUUCAUGGUGUAGCAGUGAAAUGCGUAGAGAUCAUGAGGAAGACCAGUGGCGAAGGCGGGUCUCUGGACAGUUCCUGACACUGAGGCACGAAGGCCAGGGGAGCAAACGGG